GGUUAAGCGACUAAGCGUACACGGUGGAUGCCCUGGCAGUCAGAGGCGAUGAAGGACGUGCUAAUCUGCGAUAAGCGUCGGUAAGGUGAUAUGAACCGUUAUAACCGGCGAUUUCCGAAUGGGGAAACCCAGUGUGAUUCGUCACACUAUCAUUAACUGAAUCCAUAGGUUAAUGAGGCGAACCGGGGGAACUGAAACAUCUAAGUACCCCGAGGAAAAGAAAUCAACCGAGAUUCCCCCAGUAGCGGCGAGCGAACGGGGAGCAGCCCAGAGCCUGAAUCAGUGUGUGUGUUAGUGGAAGCGUCUGGAAAGGCGUGCGAUACAGGGUGACAGCCCCGUACACAAAAAUGCACAUAUUGUGAGCUCGAUGAGUAGGGCGGGACACGUGGUAUCCUGUCUGAAUAUGGGGGGACCAUCCUCCAAGGCUAAAUACUCCUGACUGACCGAUAGUGAACCAGUACCGUGAGGGAAAGGCGAAAAGAACCCCGGCGAGGGGAGUGAAAAAGAACCUGAAACCGUGUACGUACAAGCAGUGGGAGCACGCUUAGGCGUGUGACUGCGUACCUUUUGUAUAAUGGGUCAGCGACUUAUAUUCUGUAGCAAGGUUAACCGAAUAGGGGAGCCGAAGGGAAACCGAGUCUUAACUGGGCGUUAAGUUGCAGGGUAUAGACCCGAAACCCGGUGAUCUAGCCAUGGGCAGGUUGAAGGUUGGGUAACACUAACUGGAGGACCGAACCGACUAAUGUUGAAAAAUUAGCGGAUGACUUGUGGCUGGGGGUGAAAGGCCAAUCAAACCGGGAGAUAGCUGGUUCUCCCCGAAAGCUAUUUAGGUAGCGCCUCGUGAAUUCAUCUCCGGGGGUAGAGCAC
rnacentral:rRNA from 1 species